rnacentral:rRNA from 1 species
UCGGGAAUAUUGGACAAUGGGCGCAAGCCUGAUCCAGCAAUACCGCGUGUGUGAAGAAGGCCUGCGGGUUGUAAAGCACUUUCAGUUGGGAAGAUAAUGACGUUACCAACAGAAGAAGCACCGGCUAACUCCGUGCCAGCAGCCGCGGUAAUACGGAGGGUGCAAGCGUUAAUCGGAAUUACUGGGCGUAAAGCGCACGUAGGCGGUUUUCUAAGUCAGAUGUGAAAUCCCCGGGCUUAACCUGGGAACUGCACCUGAUACUGGAAGACUAGAAUGUGGGAGAGGAGAGUGGAAUUUCCGGUGUAGCGGUGAAAUGCAUAGAGAUCGGAAGGAACACCAGUGGCGAAGGCGGCUCUCUGGACCAACAUUGACGCUGAGGUGCGAAAGCGUGGGUAGCAAA